GAUGAACGCUGGCGGCGUGCCUAAUACAUGCAAGUCGAGCGAAUGGAUUAAGAGCUUGCUCUUAUGAAGUUAGCGGCGGACGGGUGAGUAACACGUGGGUAACCUGCCCAUAAGACUGGGAUAACUCCGGGAAACCGGGGCUAAUACCGGAUAACAUUUUGAACCGCAUGGUUCGAAAUUGAAAGGCGGCUUCGGCUGUCACUUAUGGAUGGACCCGCGUCGCAUUAGCUAGUUGGUGAGGUAACGGCUCACCGAGGCAACGAUGCGUAGCCGACCUGAGAGGGUGAUCGGCCACACUGGGACUGAGACACGGCCCAGACUCCUACGGGAGGCAGCAGUAGGGAAUCUUCCGCAAUGGACGAAAGUCUGACGGAGCAACGCCGCGUGAGUGAUGAAGGCUUUCGGGUCGUAAAACUCUGUUGUUAGGGAAGAACAAGUGCUAGUUGAAUAAGCCGGCACCUUGACGGUACCUAACCAGAAAGCCACGGCUAACUACGUGCCAGCCGCCGCUGUAA
rnacentral:rRNA from 1 species